GCAUAUCAAUAAGCGGAGGAAAAGAAACCAACAGGGAUUGCCCUAGUAACGGCGAAGUGAAGCGGCAACAGCUCAAAUUUGAAAUCUGGCCCUUGUGGUCCGAGUUUGUAAUUUGUAGAGGAUGCUUUUGGUGAGGUGCCUUCCGAGUUCCCUGGAACGGGACGCCAUAGAGGGUGAGAGCCCCGUCUGGUUGGACACCGAGCCUCUGUAAAGCUCCUUCGACGAGUCGAGUAGUUUGGGAAUGCUGCUCUAAAUGGGAGGUAUAUGUCUUCUAAAGCUAAAUACCGGCCAGAGACCGAUAGCGCACAAGUAGAGUGAUCGAAAGAUGAAAAGCACUUUGAAAAGAGGGUUAAAUAGUACGUGAAAUUGUUGAAAGGGAAGCGCUUGUGACCAGACUUGAGCCCGGUUAAUCAUCCAGCCUUCUGGCUGGUGCACUUGGCCGGCUCAGGCCAGCAUCAGUUCGGCGCGGGGGAUAAAGGCUUCGGGAAUGUGGCUCCUCCGGGAGUGUUAUAGCCCGUUGUGUAAUACCCUGCGCUGGACUGAGGUUCGCGCAUCUGCAAGGAUGCUGGCGUAAUGGUCAUCAGCGACCCGUCUUGAAACACGGACCAAGGAGUCGUCUUCGUAUGCGAGUGUUCGGGUGUCAAACCCCUACGCGUAAUGAAAGUGAACGCAGGUGAGAGCUUCGGCGCAUCAUCGACCGAUCCUGAUGUUCUCGGACGGAUUUGAGUAAGAGCAUACGGGGCCGGACCCGAAAGAAGGUGAACUAUGCCUGUAUAGGGUGAAGCCAGAGGAAACUCUGGUGGAGGCUCGCAGCGGUUCUGACGUGCAAAUCGAUCGUCAAAUAUGGGCAUGGGGGCGAAAGACUAAUCGAACCUUUCUAGUAGCUGGUUUCCGCCGA
rnacentral:rRNA from 1 species